rnacentral:rRNA from 1 species
UACGUAGGCAGCGAGCGUUGUUCGGAAUUACUGGGCGUAAAGAGUGUGUAGGCGGCGCUCUAAGUUCGGUGUGAAAUCUCUCGGCUUAACUGGGAGGGUGCGCCGGAAACUGGAGUGCUCGAACGUGGGAGAGGAAAGCGGAAUUCCUGGUGUAGCGGUGAAAUGCGCAGAUAUCAGGAAGAACACCAAUGGCGAAGGCAGCUCUCUGGGACGGUACUGACACUGAGACGCGAAAGCGUGGGGAGCGAACAGG